CUGAAGCACAAGGAAUCGAACUCUAGACCCUUCCCAUGCCAAACGAGCGCCCAACCACUGAGCCGUACCUCA